rnacentral:SRP_RNA from 1 species
CGUUGGUCACCUAGCAACGGCUAGCGGUGGACUUGGUCAGACCCGGAAGGGAGCAGCCACAAUCGUGAAUCUGUGUGAUAGGAGCGGCUAACGGAA